UACGAAGGGGGCUAGCGUUGCUCGGAAUCACUGGGCGUAAAGGGUGCGUAGGCGGGUUUUUAAGUCCGGGGUGAAAUCCUGGAGCUCAACUCCAGAACUGCCUUUGAUACUGAAGAUCUUGAGUCCGGGAGAGGUGAGUGGAACUGCGAGUGUAGAGGUGAAAUUCGUAGAUAUUCGCAAGAACACCAGUGGCGAAGGCGGCUCACUGGCCCGGUACUGACGCUGAGGCACGAAAGCGUGGGGAGCAAACAGG
rnacentral:rRNA from 1 species